AGGGUUCGAUUCUGGCUCAGGAUGAACGCUGGCGGCGUGCUUAACACAUGCAAGUCGAACGGGAUCCAUCAGGCUUUGCUUGGUGGUGAGAGUGGCGAACGGGUGAGUAAUGCGUGACCGACCUGCCCCAUACACCGGAAUAGCUCCUGGAAACGGGUGGUAAUGCCGGAUGCUCCGACUCCUCGCAUGGGGUGUCGGGAAAGAUUUCAUCGGUAUGGGAUGGGGUCGCGUCCUAUCAGGUAGUCGGCGGGGUAACGGCCCACCGAGCCUACGACGGGUAGCCGGCCUGAGAGGGCGACCGGCCACAUUGGGACUGAGAUACGGCCCAGACUCCUACGGGAGGCAGCAGUGGGGAAUUUUGCGCAAUGGGGGCAACCCUGACGCAGCAACGCCGCGUGCGGGACGAAGGCGUCCGCGUCGUAAACCGCUUUCAGCGGGGAACACCUAAACGAGGGUACCCGCAGAAGAAGCCCCGGCUAAAUACGUGCCAGCAGCCGCGGUAAUACGUAUGGGGCGAGCGUUAUCCGGAUUCAUUGGGCGUAAAGCGCGCGUAGGCGGAGCGCUAAGCGGGACCUCUAACCCGAGGGCUCAACCCCCGGCCGGGUCCCGAACUGGCGCUCUCGAGUGCGGUAGGGGAGAGCGGAAUUCCCGGUGUAGCGGUGGAAUGCGCAGAUAUCGGGAAGAACACCGACGGCGAAGGCAGCUCUCUGGGCCGAAACUGACGCUGAGGCGCGAAAGCUGGGGGAGCGAACAGGAUUAGAUACCCUGGUAGUCCCAGCCGUAAACGAUGGGCGCUAGGUGUGGGGGAUGAGAUCCCCCGUGCCGCAGCCAACGCAUUAAGCGCCCCGCCUGGGGAGUACGGCCGCAAGGCUAAAACUCAAAGGAAUUGACGGGGGCCCGCACAAGCAGCGGAGCAUGUGGCUUAAUUCGAAGCAACGCGAAGAACCUUACCAGGGCUUGACAUGCAGGUGAAGCGGCGGAGACGCCGUGGCCGAGAGGAGCCUGCACAGGUGGUGCAUGGCUGUCGUCAGCUCGUGUCGUGAGAUGUUGGGUUAAGUCCCGCAACGAGCGCAACCC
rnacentral:rRNA from 1 species